GGUGGACGUCACAUGUGCAGCUCAGCUGUUGUGCUGAGAAUUGCUGACACGAGCAGUUCCAACCAGGAAAGCAGAGCUGCUUCCCACGGACAGAUUUUGGGGGUGGGUAGCAGGGACCCUCCUGACGGCUUGCUUCUGGGAUGUAGGAUGCAUUACGGAAAUCAUGAGCCUGUGUCCAGGCGUGGUCUCCUUUUCAUAGACCUGGGUACUGUGGCAACAUCCACCCCACCCCCCCCCCGCCCCCGCCGCAAGGCUGCCUUUUGGCUGCUGGCUGUGCCAUGGAAUGGAGCAUAUGUAUUUCUGCAUAUUUCCACUUUUGUGGUUUCAGUUCCAGGCUUUCAAAUUUUUUUUUCUUUUUUUCAGGAGAGAUCAGAGACAUACAGACUGUACUUCCUUCUGCGACACAGAAUUCGCACCUACUUGCUGAAUGGAAAACUUCCGUACAGGAAGGAACACCUCCCAAAGAUACACAAGAAUGGAUUUUAGCAGGAUAGAUGUUCCUCAAAAAACCAGAAAUAGACCUGCUAUAGGAUCCAGCCAUCCCACUCCCGGGCAUCUAUCCAGAGAAAACCAUGACUCGCAAAGACUCAUGUACUCUGAUGUUCAUUGCAGCACUAUUUAUAAUAGUCAAGACAUGGAAACAACCUAAAUGUCCAUCAACAGAGGAGUGGAUCCAGAAGAUGUGCUCCACAUAGACAAUGGAAUACUACGCAGCCAUUAAAAAGAAUAAAGUAACAUGAUUUGGAGCA
rnacentral:lncRNA from 1 species